CAACGCCGCGUGGAGGAUGAAGCCCCUUGGGGUGUAAACUCCUUUCGAUCGGGAAGAUAAUGACGGUACCGAUAUAAGAAGCCCCGACUAACUUCGUGC
rnacentral:rRNA from 1 species